CUAAGUGCACGUAUUUUUUGACACAAUUCGAAACAUGUCGCAAUUGCACGAUCUGAAAGUCGUGUCUGGUUGAAUCAUUCUCUUCGCAGGACUGAUCGAGCAGAGGAAAGGUUGAUUUGGACCAGAUCAUCUCUCAGGAUUUCUGUAGACUUUCCCGUAACAACGUUCGUUCUAAAUUAAAUUCCUUCGACUAAUUUUUCUACCCUUGAGGGCCUGCUGUGUGCUCUUUAAGCUUCACUAGCUAGUUUGAGUCAUUCUAACAUUUCUCAGCUCAAUUGUGCCUAACCGGUGCCAAGCAGUAGACUAUAUACAAAUUAUUUUUUGUAGAGAUGUUACGUCGUGGUUAAGAACUGCUCCUAACCUCUAAUAACUGUCAUUCAAAAUCGAAGCAUGCUAUUGCCAUCACUAGCGCAGCGGUUGGUGCAGUUGCGGGUGUAUUGAUGGCUGUUUGUGGUACUUAAUAUCUAGUGUAAAAGCUAGCAAGGUUGCGCCAACCUAUUGGGCAGCUUCGGUGCAGAUUUAGCGGGAAAAGUGUGCCAAUGCUCAUCUCGAACCACCGAAAAUCCUUUGUUGUAUUAGAAUCCCUGUUUCUUAAACAUUGAGUUCUUCACCAUCUACGUUUUUGCCGCGGCUGUUAAAUUAUACUAGAUUCAACUUUUCGAUGUUUUCGAUGGUUUGAUCAAGUACAUGAAUUUGGGGUAGGGUGGUUUGUCGAGUUGUUUGUUUAGAAUUUCAAAGUUGGUCGUAUGUUGGCGAUCAGGCGCGCUUCACAAACUGUCUCAAGCAACCAAGGUCUAGCUGGGUUUUAGAAAGAAGAUGUGGUUAAUCCAAGUCCUCUUGCUAAUUCGUCACCACCGCAAGAAUUUUGUUCACUUGGAGGACUUUUGCAACGAACCCAGAAUGCAGGUCGUAUGGUUUUCGUUCAGCGAAGAUCGACGCCACUGGUCACAUGUGCUUUGGGGAUUUUAGCGUACGAAUGCAUGUGAGAAAGAAAUUCUCUAUGCUCAUCUUUUCAGUAAGCACAGACGUUUCACUCAAGCAUCUGUGUGCAUUGACAAUUCUACUUUUGAGACCAAUAGAAGUCAGUUGGUUUCUCUAUGAAUGACAGAUUCGGAGUAUAACUUUUUGCAUCGAAACGCAACUAACAAGAAUCUAAAUCUAUAUGUUUUUAUUUAAUAGGAGAUUGGUUAAAGCAGGCACUUGAUCUGACACAGGAAGUUGGAAAUAGCAGUAGACGUUGCUCAAGGCUUAAACAUCUACACUCCUAAACUAUAAUUUCUGGUGUGUUCACUUUAUAAAAAUCUGAAGGAAAUUGCAGCGGCUUAAAUGAGUCCCAUCAUUUUUAAGCUAUGUUUUUAUUCCGCAUAUUGAAUAUGUCACAAGGGCGUAGGACCCCCUAACAAUCCGCUGAGAUGUUAAACUCUGCAACAGUCUGCUUGAUAAUCUAUUGGAACAACAGUGGUCGACUUCAACAUCACCAGAGCCACAAAAGAGUGUGCCACUUAUGUCGUGACUCGACCCGGCUGGCACUUCAGGGUAACCGACCAAUUCAAUUGCAUCUUCGUAGACAUUAAUUAGGAACUGCAGAGAAACCAGCCCAUCCGACUGCAUCUUCACCGACAUUCCGCUGGCAGUGCAUGGCAACCGACCGAUCCGAUUCCAAUUUUGUGGAUACUGUGCUAGCACUGCAGACGCUUAGCGUGGACAACGCUGUCGAUAACAGUGCUCACCAGAAUGCAUGCCGUCGAUAGACAGAUCCAUUGAUCCUCACUCCUUUUCUCAGCCGGCGAUUAGCGACCGCCAGUGACGUCGGUUGUCUGUCGCAGGUCGCGGCGACUGAUGAAAUAGGCAUUGAUCAUGACAAAGGGUAAUUAAGUUCGAUUUAGUUUGGAUUGGGUUCGAUCGAUUGCGCUGUCACUAGAUCUUUGCGGGUUUGCCUCCGCAUUCGGCGUUACAUAUCUAGAAGCCGAACUUGCCAGCGACACGCUAGAUCGCAGUUUGCUUGCUUGGCCUGUGAUUAGAAUUUCGAUUAGAGUUUCCAUGACCAUUUAGUGUCACAAUCUCCCACCGGAUUGUUAUUUGCACAUGCAUUUCAACCAAGAACUCCACUUUCAUGCGUUGUUUAAUGAAUACAAAGUUUGUUUCUACACCUGCUUCGAGUGGGAUUCUUGGAGAAUUUGGCCAUAACGUUCUUAAAGUUCUAUACUUUUCUAUUAAAUAUGUUACAUCAUAUCUAGUCUUGUCGAUAGUAUUACAUAUUUAUUU